UUGUGCAAGAAAUUGCAAUAAAAUAGUCUGCCUAAGAAAAAUUGAAUUUUUUUGAAAAUUUUUUUUUGACGAAAUUUGCUUUAAUGGUCGUAAAAAUGGUGUUCCUCUACUUGGAUUUGGCUGUCAAUUUUUUUCUACACUUUUAGGUGUAUUUUGUGCAAGAAAUUGCAAUAAAAUAGUCUGUCUAAGAAAAAUUGAAUUUUUUUGAAAAUUUUUUUUUGACGAAAAUCGAUUUAAUGGUCGUAAAAAUGGUGUUCCUCUACUUGGAUUUGGCUGUCAAUUUUUUUCUACACUUUUAGGUGUAUUUUGUGCAAGAAAUUGCAAUAAAAUAGUCUGCCUAAGAAAAAUUGAAUUUUUUUGAAAAUUUUUUUUUGACGAAAAUCGCUUUAAUGGUCGUAAAAAUGGUGUUCCUCGACUUGGAUUUGGCUGUCAAUUUUUUUCUACACUUUUAGGUGUAUUUUGUGCAAGAAAUUGCAAUAAAAUAGUCUGCCUAAGAAAAAUUGAAUUUUUUUGAAAAUUAUUUUUUGACGAAAAUCGCUUUAAUGGUCGUAAAAAUGGUGUUCCUCGACUUGGAUUUGGCUGUCAAUUUUUUUCUACACUUUCAGGUGUAUUUUGUGCAAGAAAUUGCAAUAAAAUAGUCUGUCUAAGAAAAAUUGAAUUUUUUUGAAAAUUUUUUUUUGACGAAAAUCGAUUUAAUGGUCGUAAAAAUGGUGUUCCUCUACUUGGAUUUGGCUGUCAAUUUUUUUCUACACUUUUAGGUGUAUUUUGUGCAAGAAAUUGCAAUAAAAUAGUCUGCCUAAAAAAAAUUGAAUUUUUUUGAAAAUUUUUUUUUGACGAAAUUUGCUUUAAUGGUCGUAAAAAUGGUGUUCCUCUACUUGGAUUUGGCUGUCAAUUUUUUUCUACACUUUUAGGUGUAUUUUGUGCAAGAAAUUGCAAUAAAAUAGUCUGCCUAAGAAAAAUUGAAUUUUUUUGAAAAUUUUUUUUUGACGAAAAUCGCUUUAUUGGUCAAAAAAGUGGUGUUCCUCUACUCGGAUCGGGCUGUCAAUUUUUUUCUACACUUUUAGGUGUAUUUUGUGCAAGAAAUUGCAAUAAAAUAGUCUGCCUAAGAAAAAUUGAAUUUUUUUGAAAAUUUUUUUUUGACGAAAAUCGCUUUAAUGGUCGUAAAAAUGGUGUUCCUCUACUUGGAUUUGGCUGUCAAUUUUUUUCUACACUUUUAGGUGUAUUUUGUGCAAGAAAUUGCAAUAAAAUAGUCUGCCUAAGAAAAAUUGAAUUUUUUUGAAAAUUUUUUUUUGACGAAAAUCGCUUUAAUGGUCGUAAAAAUGGUGUUCCUCGACUUGGAUUUGGCUGUCAAUUUUUUUCUACACUUUUAGGUGUAUUUUGUGCAAGAAAUUGCAAUAAAAUAGUCUGCCUAAGAAAAAUUGAAUUUUUUUGAAAAUUUUUUUUUGACGAAAAUCGCUUUAAUGGUCGUAAAAAUGGUGUUCCUCUACUUGGAUUUGGCUGUCAAUUUUUUUCUACACUUUUAGGUGUAUUUUGUGCAAGAAAUUGCAAUAAAAUAGUCUGCCUAAGAAAAAUUGAAUUUUUUUGAAAAUUUUUUUUUGACGAAAAUCGCUUUAAUGGUCGUAAAAAUGGUGUUCCUCUACUUGGAUUUGGCUGUCAAUUUUUUUCUACACUUUUAGGUGUAUUUUGUGCAAGAAAUUGCAAUAAAAUAGUCUGCCUAAGAAAAAUUGAAUUUUUUUGAAAAUUUUUUUUUGACGAAAAUCGCUUUAUUGGUCAAAAAAGUGGUGUUCCUCUACUCGGAUCGGGCUGUCAAUUUUUUUCUACACUUUUAGGUGUAUUUUGUGCAAGAAAUUGCAAUAAAAUAGUCUGCCUAAGAAAAAUUGAAUUUUUUUGAAAAUUUUUUUUUGACGAAAAUCGCUUUAAUGGUCGUAAAAAUGGUGUUCCUCUACUUGGAUUUGGCUGUCAAUUUUUUUCUACACUUUUAGGUGUAUUUUGUGCAAGAAAUUGCAAUAAAAUAGUCUGCCUAAGAAAAAUUGAAUUUUUUUGAAAAUUUUUUUUUGACGAAAAUCGCUUUAUUGGUCAAAAAAGUGGUGUUCCUCUACUCGGAUCGGGCUGUCAAUUUUUUUCUACACUUUUAGGUGUAUUUUGUGCAAGAAAUUGCAAUAAAAUAGUCUGCCUAAGAAAAAUUGAAUUUUUUUGAAAAUUUUUUUUUGACGAAAAUCGCUUUAAUGGUCGUAAAAAUGGUGUUCCUCGACUUGGAUUUGGCUGUCAAUUUUUUUCUACACUUUUAGGUGUAUUUUGUGCAAGAAAUUGCAAUAAAAUAGUCUGCCUAAGAAAAAUUGAAUUUUUUUGAAAAUUUUUUUUUGACGAAAAUCGCUUUAAUGGUCGUAAAAAUGGUGUUCCUCUACUUGGAUUUGGCUGUCAAUUUUUUUCUACACUUUUAGGUGUAUUUUGUGCAAGAAAUUGCAAUAAAAUAGUCUGCCUAAGAAAAAUUGAAUUUUUUUGAAAAUUUUUUUUUGACGAAAAUCGCUUUAAUGGUCGUAAAAAUGGUGUUCCUCUACUUGCAUUUGGCUGUCAAUUUUUUUCUACACUUUUAGGUGUAUUUUGUGCAAGAAAUUGCAAUAAAAUAGUCUGCCUAAGAAAAAUUGAAUUUUUUUGAAAAUUUUUUUUUGACGAAAAUCGCUUUAAUGGUCAAAAAAUGGUGUUCCUCUACUCGGAUCGGGCUGUCAAUUUUUUUCUACACUUUUAGGUGUAUUUUGUGCAAGAAAUUGCAAUAAAAUAGUCUGCCUAAGAAAAAUUGAAUUUUUUUGAAAAUUUUUUUUUGACGAAAAUCGCUUUAUUGGUCAAAAAAGUGGUGUUCCUCUACUCGGAUCGGGCUGUCAAUUUUUUUCUACACUUUUAGGUGUAUUUUGUGCAAGAAAUUGCAAUAAAAUAGUCUGCCUAAGAAAAAUUGAAUUUUUUUGAAAAUUUUUUUUUGACGAAAAUCGCUUUAAUGGUCAUAAAAAUGGUGUUCCUCUACUCGGAUCGGGCUGUCAAUUUUUUUCUACACUUUUAGGUGUAUUUUGUGCAAGAAAUUGCAAUAAAAUAGUCUGCCUAAGAAAAAUUGAAUUUUUUUGAAAAUUUUUUUUUGACGAAAAUCGCUUUAAUGGUCGUAAAAAUGGUGUUCCUCGACUUGGAUUUGGCUGUCAAUUUUUUUCUACACUUUUAGGUGUAUUUUGUGCAAGAAAUUGCAAUAAAAUAGUCUGCCUAAGAAAAAUUGAAUUUUUUUGAAAAUUUUUUUUUGACGAAAAUCGCUUUAAUGGUCGUAAAAAUGGUGUUCCUCUACUUGGAUUUGGCUGUCAAUUUUUUUCUACACUUUUAGGUGUAUUUUGUGCAAGAAAUUGCAAUAAAAUAGUCUGCCUAAGAAAAAUUGAAUUUUUUUGAAAAUUUUUUUUUGACGAAAAUCGCUUUAAUGGUCGUAAAAAUGGUGUUCCUCUACUUGGAUUUGGCUGUCAAUUUUUUUCUACACUUUUAGGUGUAUUUUGUGCAAGAAAUUGCAAUAAAAUAGUCUGCCUAAGAAAAAUUGAAUUUUUUUGAAAAUUUUUUUUUGACGAAAAUCGCUUUAAUGGUCAUAAAAAUGGUGUUCCUCUACUCGGAUCGGGCUGUCAAUUUUUUUCUACACUUUUAGGUGUAUUUUGUGCAAGAAAUUGCAAUAAAAUAGUCUGCCUAAGAAAAAUUGAAUUUUUUUGAAAAUUUUUUUUUGACGAAAAUCGCUUUAAUGGUCAUAAAAAUGGUGUUCCUCUACUCGGAUCGGGCUGUCAAUUUUUUUCUACACUUUUAGGUGUAUUUUGUGCAAGAAAUUGCAAUAAAAUAGUCUGCCUAAGAAAAAUUGAAUUUUUUUGAAAAUUUUUUUUUGACGAAAAUCGCUUUAAUGGUCGUAAAAAUGGUGUUCCUCUACUCGGAUCGGGCUGUCAAUUUUUUUCUACACUAUUAGGUGUAUUUUGUGCAAGAAAUUGCAAUAAAAUAGUCUGCCUAAGAAAAAUUGAAUUUUUUUGAAAAUUUUUUUUUGACGAAAAUCGCUUUAAUGGUCGUAAAAAUGGUGUUCCUCUACUCGGAUCGGGCUGUCAAUUUUUUUCUACACUAUUAGGUGUAUUUUGUGCAAGAAAUUGCAAUAAAAUAGUCUGCCUAAGAAAAAUUGAAUUUUUUUGAAAAUUUUUUUUUGACGAAAAUCGCUUUAAUGGUCGUAAAAAUGGUGUUCCUCUACUCGGAUCGGGCUGUCAAUUUUUUUCUACACUAUUAGGUGUAUUUUGUGCAAAAAAUUGCAAUAAAAUAGUCUGCCUAAGAAAAAUUGAAUUUUUUUGAAAAUUUUUUUUUGACGAAAAUCGCUUUAAUGGUCGUAAAAAUGGUGUUCCUCUACUUGGAUUUGGCUGUCAAUUUUUUUCUACACUUUUAGGUGUAUUUUGUGCAAGAAAUUGCAAUAAAAUAGUCUGCCUAAGAAAAAUUGAAUUUUUUUGAAAAUUUUUUUUUGACGAAAAUCGCUUUAAUGGUCGUAAAAAUGGUGUUCCUCGACUUGGAUUUGGCUGUC